GGACGAACGCUGGCGGCGUGCCUAAUACAUGCAAGUCGAACGAGCUCUCCUAAAUUGAUUUUAUGCUUGCAUAAAUGAUUUUUAGAUUCGGAGCGAGUGGCGAACUGGUGAGUAACACGUGGGUAACCUGCCCCGAAGCGGGGGAUAACAUUUGGAAACAAAUGCUAAUACCGCAUAAUUAGUUGGAACCGCAUGGUUCCAACUUGAAAGAUGGCUCUGCUAUCACUUUGGGAUGGACCCGCGCCGUAUUAGUUAGUUGGUGAGAUAAAAGCCCACCAAGACGAUGGUACGUAGCCGACCUGAGAGGGUAAUCGGCCACAUUGGGACUGAGACACGGCCCAGACUCCUACGGGAGGCAGCAGUAGGGAAUCUUCCACAAUGGACGAAAGUCUGAUGGAGCAACGCCGCGUGAGUGAUGAAGGUUUUCGGAUCGUAAAACUCUGUUGUUAAAGAAGAACAAGUGUUAGAGUAACUGUUAACACUUUGACGGUAUUUAACCAGAAAGCCACGGCUAACUACGUGCCAGCAGCCGCGGUAAUACGUAGGUGGCAAGCGUUGUCCGGAUUUAUUGGGCGUAAAGCGAGCGCAGGCGGUUUUGUAAGUCUGCUGUGAAAGCCCUCAGCUCAACUGAGGAAGUGCAGUGGAAACUACAAAACUUGAGUACAGAAGAGGAAAGUGGAACUCCAUGUGUAGCGGUGAAAUGCGUAGAUAUAUGGAAGAACACCAGUGGCGAAGGGCGGCUUUCUGGUCUGUUACUGACGCUGAGGCUCGAAAGCAUGGGUAGCGAACAGGAUUAGAUACCCUGGUAGUCCAUGCCGUAAACGAUGAAUACUAGGUGUUGGAGGGUUUCCGCCCUUCAGUGCCGCAGCUAACGCAUUAAGUAUUCCGCCUGGGGAGUACGACCGCAAGGUUGAAACUCAAAGGAAUUGACGGGGGCCCGCACAAGUGGUGGAGCAUGUGGUUUAAUUCGAUGCUACGCGAAGAACCUUACCAGCUCUUGACAUCUUCUGCCAACCCAAGAGAUUGGGCGUUCCCUUCGGGGACAGAAUGACAGGUGGUGCAUGGUUGUCGUCAGCUCGUGUCGUGAGAUGUUGGGUUAAGUCCCGCAACGAGCGCAACCCUUAUUAUUAGUUGCCAGCAUUUAGUUGGGCACUCUAGUGAGACUGCCGGUGAUAAACCGGAGGAAGGUGGGGACGACGUCAAAUCAUCAUGCCCCUUAUGAGCUGGGCUACACACGUGCUACAAUGGAUGGUACAACGAGUCGCGAAACCGCGAGGUCAAGCUAAUCUCUUAAAGCCAUUCUCAGUUCGGAUUGCAGGCUGCAACUCGCCUGCAUGAAGUUGGAAUCACUAGUAAUCGUGGAUCAGCAUGCCACGGUGAAUACGUUCCCGGGCCUUGUACACACCGC
rnacentral:rRNA from 1 species